CGAAUCUAACUGUCAUGACUGUGUAUGUAGAUUCUUAACUUUUGGUCCCGUUUUCAAAUUGGUCUACAUUAAGGUCCAAAGGGUCCAAAAUAAACUUAGUUUGAUUUUGACAAAAGAUGAAUCAGUUAGGUUCUUUGAUAUGCUGAAUCUAAAAAUGUACUAAGAUUCUUGAUUAUUGGCCCAGUUUUCAAGUUGGUCCAAAUCGGGGUCCAAAAUUAAACUUUGUUUGAUUUCAUCAAAAAUUGAAUAAAUGGGGUUCUUUGAUAUACCAAAUCUAACUGUGUAUGUAGAUUCUUCAUUUUU
rnacentral:lncRNA from 1 species